UACGUAGGGUGCAAGCGUUAUCCGGAAUUAUUGGGCGUAAAGAGCUCGUAGGCGGUUUGUCGCGUCUGCUGUGAAAACGCGAGGCUCAACCUCGCGCCUGCAGUGGGUACGGGCAGACUAGAGUGUGGUAGGGGAGACUGGAAUUCCUGGUGUAGCGGUGAAAUGCGCAGAUAUCAGGAGGAACACCGGUGGCGAAGGCGGUUCUCUGGGCAUUACCUGACGCUGAGGAGCGAAAGUGUGGGGAGCGAACAGG
rnacentral:rRNA from 1 species